AGAUGGACCCGCGGCGCAUUAGCUAGUUGGUGAGGUAAUGGCUCACCAAGGCAACGAUGCGUAGCCGACCUGAGAGGGUGAUCGGCCACACUGGGACUGAGACACGGCCCAGACUCCUACGGGAGGCAGCAGUAGGGAAUCUUCCGCAAUGGACGAAAGUCUGACGGAGCAACGCCGCGUGAGUGAUGAAGGUUUUCGGAUCGUAAAGCUCUGUUGUUAGGGAAGAACAAGUACCGUUCGAAUAGGGCGGUACCUUGACGGUACCUAACCAGAAAGCCACGGCUAACUACGUGCCAGCAGCCGCGGUAAUACGUAGGUGGCAAGCGUUGUCCGGAAUUAUUGGGCGUAAAGGGCUCGCAGGCGGUUUCUUAAGUCUGAUGUGAAAGCCCCCGGCUCAACCGGGGAGGGUCAUUGGAAACUGGGGAACUUGAGUGCAGAAGAGGAGAGUGGAAUUCCACGUGUAGCGGUGAAAUGCGUAGAGAUGUGGAGGAACACCAGUGGCGAAGGCGACUCUCUGGUCUGUAACUGACGCUGAGGAGCGAAAGCGUGGGGAGCGAACAGGAUUAGAUACCCUGGUAGUCCACGCCGUAUACGAUGAGUGCUAAGUGUUAGGGGGUUUCCGCCCCUUAGUGCUGCAGCUAACGCAUUAA
rnacentral:rRNA from 1 species